rnacentral:rRNA from 1 species
UACAGAGGUCCCAAGCGUUGUUCGGAUUCACUGGGCGUAAAGGGUGCGUAGGUGGUGAGGUAAGUCGGAUGUGAAAUUUCGGAGCUUAACUCCGAAACUGCACUUGAUACUGCGGUGCUUGAGGACUGGAGAGGAGACUGGAAUUUACGGUGUAGCAGUGAAAUGCGUAGAUAUCGUAAGGAAGACCAGUGGCGAAGGCGGAUCUCUGGACAGUUCCUGACACUGAGGCACGAAGGCCAGGGGAGCAAACGGG